rnacentral:rRNA from 2 species
CGCGUUGGCCCAAUUGAUUGAUGGUGCUUGCACCUGAUUGAUUUUGGUCGCCAACGAGUGGCGGACGGGUGAGUAACACGUAGGUAACCUGCCCAGAAGCGGGGGACAACAUUUGGAAACAGAUGCUAAUACCGCAUAACAGCGUUGUUCGCAUGAACAACGCUUAAAAGAUGGCUUCUCGCUAUCACUUCUGGAUGGACCUGCGGUGCAUUAGCUUGUUGGUGGGGUAACGGCCUACCAAGGCGAUGAUGCAUAGCCGAGUUGAGAGACUGAUCGGCCACAAUGGGACUGAGACACGGCCCAUACUCCUACGGGAGGCAGCAGUAGGGAAUCUUCCACAAUGGGCGCAAGCCUGAUGGAGCAACACCGCGUGAGUGAAGAAGGGUUUCGGCUCGUAAAGCUCUGUUGUUAAAGAAGAACACGUAUGAGAGUAACUGUUCAUACGUUGACGGUAUUUAACCAGAAAGUCACGGCUAACUACGUGCCAGCAGCCGCGGUAAUACGUAGGUGGCAAGCGUUAUCCGGAUUUAUUGGGCGUAAAGAGAGUGCAGGCGGUUUUCUAAGUCUGAUGUGAAAGCCUUCGGCUUAACCGGAGAAGUGCAUCGGAAACUGGAUAACUUGAGUGCAGAAGAGGGUAGUGGAACUCCAUGUGUAGCGGUGGAAUGCGUAGAUAUAUGGAAGAACACCAGUGGCGAAGGCGGCUACCUGGUCUGCAACUGACGCUGAGACUCGAAAGCAUGGGUAGCGAACAGGAUUAGAUACCCUGGUAGUCCAUGCCGUAAACGAUGAGUGCUAGGUGUUGGAGGGUUUCCGCCCUUCAGUGCCGGAGCUAACGCAUUAAGCACUCCGCCUGGGGAGUACGACCGCAAGGUUGAAACUCAAAGGAAUUGACGGGGGCCCGCACAAGCGGUGGAGCAUGUGGUUUAAUUCGAAGCUACGCGAAGAACCUUACCAGGUCUUGACAUCUUGCGCCAACCCUAGAGAUAGGGCGUUUCCUUCGGGAACGCAAAGACAGGUGGUGCAUGGUCGUCGUCAGCUCGUGUCGUGAGAUGUUGGGUUAAGUCCCGCAACGAGCGCAACCCUUGUUACUAGUUGCCAGCAUUAAGUUGGGCACUCUAGUGAGACUGCCGGUGACAAACCGGAGGAAGGUGGGGACGACGUCAGAUCAUCAUGCCCCUUAUGACCUGGGCUACACACGUGCUACAAUGGACGGUACAACGAGUCGCGAACUCGCGAGGGCAAGCAAAUCUCUUAAAACCGUUCUCAGUUCGGACUGCAGGCUGCAACUCGCCUGCACGAAGUCGGAAUCGCUAGUAAUCGCGGAUCAGCAUGCCGCGGUGAAUACGUUCCCGGGCCUUGUACACACCGCCCGUCACACCAUGAGAGUUUGUAACACCCAAAGUCGGUGGGGUAACC